GAGUUUGAUCCUGGCUCAGGACGAACGCUGGCGGUGCGCCUUAUGCAUGCAAGUUGAGCGAAGCAUUUCAGUAGUUUACUACAGAAAAUGACUGAGCGGCGAACGGGUGAGUAACGCGUGAGCAAUCUACCUUAGUUACUGGGAUAGCCCGAGGAAACUCGGAUUAAUACCGGAUAUUCUUAUUUUUUCACAUGAAGUUUUAAGGAAAGGUCAGCCGAACUAAGAUGAGCUCGCGUUCUAUCAGCUAGUUGGUGGGGUAAAAGCCUACCAAGGCUACGACGGAUAGCUGGUCUGAGAGGACGAUCAGCCACACUGGGACUGAGACACGGCCCAGACUCCUACGGGAGGCUGCAGCAGGGAAUAUUGCGCAAUGAGCGAAAGCUUGACGCAGCGACACCGCGUGUGGGAUGACGGUUCUAGGAUUGUAAACCACUUUCAGGAGGGAAGAAAAUGACGGUACCUCCACAAGAAGACCCGGCCAACUACGUGCCAGCAGCCGCGGUAAUACGUAGGGGUCAAGCGUUGUCCGGAUUUAUUGGGCGUAAAGAGCUCGUAGGCGGUUCAACAAGUCGGUCGUAAAAGUUUAGGGCUCAACCCUAAAAUGUCGAUCGAUACUGUUGUGACUAGGAUACGGUAGAGGUGAAUGGAAUUCCGAGUGUAGCGGUGAAAUGCGUAGAUAUUCGGAGGAACACCAAUUGCGAAGGCAGUUCACUGGACCGUGAUCGACGCUGAGGAGCGAAAGCUAGGGGAGCAAACAGGAUUAGAUACCCUGGUAGUCCUAGCUGUAAACGAUGGAUACUAGAUGUAGAACUGGAUUGACGGUUUCUGUAUCGUAGCUAACGCGUUAAGUAUCCCGCCUGGGGAGUACGGUCGCAAGACUAAAACUCAAAGGAAUUGACGGGACCCCGCACAGCGGCGAGCAUGCGCUUAAUUCGAUGAUACCCGUAGAACCUUACCUGNCUUGACAAUAUAGGAAAAGCUAAAGAAAAUUUAGUGUGCGU
rnacentral:rRNA from 1 species